AAACAGGAUUAGAUACCCUGGUAGUCCACGCCGUAAACGAUGUCGACUUGGAGGUUGUUCCCUUGAGGAGUGGCUUCCGGAGCUAACGCGUUAAGUCGACCGCCUGGGGAGUACGGCCGCAAGGUUAAAACUCAAAUGAAUUGACGGGGGCCCGCACAAGCGGUGGAGCAUGUGGUUUAAUUCGAUGCAACGCGAAGAACCUUACCUACUCUUGACAUCCACGGAAUUCGGCAGAGAUGCCUUAGUGCCUUCGGGAACCGUGAGACAGGUGCUGCAUGGCUGUCGUCAGCUCGUGUUGUGAAAUGUUGGGUUAAGUCCCGCAACGAGCGCAACCCUUAUCCUUUGUUGCCAGCGAUUCGGUCGGGAACUCAAAGGAGACUGCCGGUGAUAAACCGGAGGAAGGUGGGGAUGACGUCAAGUCAUCAUGGCCCUUACGAGUAGGGCUACACACGUGCUACAAUGGCGCAUACAAAGAGAAGCGACCUCGCGAGAGCAAGCGGACCUCAUAAAGUGCGUCGUAGUCCGGAUCGGAGUCUGCAACUCGACUCCGUGAAGUCGGAAUCGCUAGUAAUCGUGGAUCAGAAUGCCACGGUGAAUACGUUCCCGGGCCUUGUACACACCGCCCGUCACACCAUGGGAGUGGGUUGCAAAAGAAGUAGGUAGCUUAACCUCCGGGAGGGCGCUACC
rnacentral:rRNA from 1 species